ACCCACCGGGGCCCACAGCUUGUGGGCUGUGUAAAGGGCUUGCGGAGCGCGUUCUUUAUCACGCCGCGGCACUUGCACACUUGCUGCCUGCCUGCCUGGUUUGCUGGCUUUUGUUUCCGUUUGAUGGCGCGUGUAGAUUACGGCACGCCACCUCAUAAAUGUUCCAAUUUUGUCCAUUUCCUAAGUGGUUCCUGAUAGGAGGCGUAAGGUCGCUGAGCACUCUAGAGUGGGCAGUUGUGAGGUAAUGUGCUAGGUGUCCAACAGAGCAUUGUGAUGCAACAUUGUAGCCGGCAGCCGAGAAUGCGAUGCAAAUGCAGCCCGGAUCCGGUUUCUAGUGAAGCAAUGCCACUCCACCAAGCCACAAGUUGUUUGAUUCGCAAUCGCAUAAAUCCAAUGCAGGGCAAUGCAGGGCGAUGAAUGAGAAAAAGGGGGAAAGAAAACAGUCAAAUUUAUUAAGUUCUUCUUAACACCUUUGAUUGUGUGUAUUUUAUUCCUUAUGCGCUGUUCAGCUUGAUUCAUUUUUGCUCAUAAAUAAGAUGGCCCAUAAAUAAAAGCUCAUGUCGCUUCUGUGUGCCUUGCGUUUCGCCCGCGCGUGUGUAUGUGUGGCAGAUGAAGAAACGUAGAAAAACGAAUCUUUUCCUGAAGAAAAAAAAAACAUCACAGUGAAGCAAUCAAACGCAGAGUGGGCAAAGAAGUUACGCUUCUCGGUAGGGAUGCUCACGAAACAAGUGCUUGUGUUAAACGUGACAUUUGAAUAUGGCAGUCAUCCGUUUUUGGCGAACAUUUUACACCGUAACCUGUGUCCUUGAGCGCUCGUAAGAGCUCUCUAACAACGAAACUGUUCCCUGGUUUUUGGGUUUUUUUUUUUUUUGUUUGACAGUGCACACACGAAAAAGCCCAUCAACCACCCAUUAUGCAGGAGGUCAGCAUGGAUCAAACGUACGAUAACGGCUCCACCGUUCCAAGGAGCCACAUUACAGACUGACACACAUCACGCUUGAACAGCAAAAAACCGCAUAUUCUUCUCCUAACUAAAUCUCAAACACAUUCCAAGAAUUAAAGGCCUGUUGCGUUACGGAGCAGCGGGUUCUCUCCGUUUUAUCAAUCCGCGCGUCCCUAAUUUGCGGCUCGUAGCAGGAGUCCUUCACUAGCGCGUUUCGCUGCGCUGCGUUGCUGCGCUGCAUCGCGCCAACUGGUCGCAGCGGGCGGCAAAGUGGUUUAAUUUAACAGCUUACGUUAGCAAAAAAAGAAACGUUUGAAGCAUAAAGUAAACACUGCAAAGAGAUCUUGCACAAUUUGAUAUGAGGUAUUUCGUUUUUUGUUUGUUUAUUUCCCCCGACUGAGUAGUGCUUUGAAUGCGCGUUGAUGGGGUCGUUGAAACUGAAAUGCUUGCUUAGAGUGUAGCAUACAAAUGUGGUACAAAGUAAAAGUAAAAGUUAUUCCGACUUUUUUAUAUGAGGAAUGUUUUUAGUUUUAAGGCAAUCACUGUGUUGAGCGAUUUAAGUACAAACGGUCUUGCUGUGAUCGUGACAAUAAGAUCAUUCUUCUUACGGCAAGCAAGUAUCCAUUCUGAAGUCAUUGGAAGUUAAUUAAUUAAAAACUACUUCAUUUAGACACGUUUAACAAAAUGCAAUAUCAUUUAAAUCUCUAACUAGCCUCCCUUGAACAGGCAUUGCAACACUAAUUCCCAUGACAAUGUUCCAUAACUGCAACGCACAAGUUGUCAAUUCUCCCCCAUGAGCGCAUGUCUUGAUCGCUCCCCAUCAUUAGCGUCGUGUAUGUACCAUUUAAUCUAUUAAAACCUAAUUAUCAGGAAGACAAUGAUGUCUGGUGCAGCGGACCACACCACUCGUGGGGGAGGAGGACCAUGAUAUGGCACAAACGACCCCUGCAACUCUGGCAGCACACGGCAGAGAAAGCGAUAAUUUCAAUGUGAAAACGCAAGUGGCUCGAUUUCAUAUUGCUAUCACUUGCACGCAACAUUGCAUCCCACAACUUACAUCGUUUGUCAGCGUUUGCUGAAUUGAGGCGCUGUGAUUUUAGCUUUGAGCUUCGAAAAUAAAUAUCUUUCUCAUUUAUUAUUUGGGGCGAACAUGCA